rnacentral:rRNA from 1 species
GACGAGCGCUGGCGGCGUGCUUAACACAUGCAAGUCGAACGGAAAGGCCCUGCUUGCAGGGUACUCGAGUGGCGAACGGGUGAGUAACACGUGGGUGAUCUGCCCUGCACUUCGGGAUAAGCUUGGGAAACUGGGUCUAAUACCGGAUAGGAGCCAUCUUUAGUGUGGUGGUUGGAAAGUUUUUUCGGUGUAGGAUGAGCUCGCGGCCUAUCAGCUUGUUGGUGGGGUAAUGGCCUACCAAGGCGGCGACGGGUAGCCGGCCUGAGAGGGUGUACGGCCACAUUGGGACUGAGAUACGGCCCAGACUCCUACGGGAGGCAGCAGUGGGGAAUAUUGCACAAUGGGCGCAAGCCUGAUGCAGCGACGCCGCGUGGGGGAUGAAGGCCUUCGGGUUGGAAACUCCUUUCGCUAGGGACGAAGCUUUUUGUGACGGUACCUAGAGAAGAAGCACCGGCUAACUACGUG